GACGAACGCUGGCGGCGUGCUUAACACAUGCAAGUCGAACGGGUCUGCCCUGUUUUUUGCGGGGUGGGUCAGUGGCGAACGGGUGAGUAACACGUGAGUAACCUGCCCCUCACUUCUGGAUAACCGCUUGAAAGGGUGGCUAAUACGGGGUGUUCUGGCUGUGCCGCAUGGUGUGGCUGGGAAAGAUUCACUUUUGUGGUGUUUUGGUGGGGGAUGGGCUCGCGGCCUAUCAGCUUGUUGGUGGGGUGAUGGCCUGCCAAGGCUUUGACGGGUAGCCGGCCUGAGAGGGUGGGCGGUCACACGGGGACUGAGAUACGGCCCAGACUCCUGCGGGAGGCAGCAGUGGGGGGUAUUGCACAAUGGGCGGAAGCCUGAUGCAGCGACGUCGCGUGAGGGAUGGAGGCCUUCGGGUUGUGAACCUCUUUCGCCGGUGAAGAAGGUCCUGCUCUUUGGGGUGGGGUUGACGGUAGCCGGGUUAUGAAGCGCCGGCUAACUACGUG
rnacentral:rRNA from 1 species